rnacentral:rRNA from 1 species
UAACAAUGAUUCCCCCAGUAACGGCGAGUGAACAGGGAAAAGCUCAAAGUUGGAACCUCCUGGGCCUAGCCUAGGCGGAUUGUAAACUAAAGUCUUCGAGUAGUUCGGCUAGCCUGGUAAUCAAGUCCUCUGGAAAGGGGCGACAUAGAGGGUGAAACCCCCGUUUAUGGCCAGAUGCAUAGUCCUACGUUCGCUUGGAGACGAAGAGUCAGGUUGUUUGGGAAUGCAGCCUAAAGUGGGAGGUAAAUCUCUCCUAAAGCUAAAUAUUGACGAAAGACCGAUAGCGAACAAGUACCGUGAGGGAAAGAUGAAAAGCACUUUGAAAAGAGGGUCAAAAAGUACGUGAAAUUGCUAAAAGGGAACCGUAUGAAAUCAGUCCAAUUUCUUGGUAAUCAUCCUGGGCUUUGGCCUGGGUGCACUUGCCAUGAGAUUGCCAGCAGCAGUUUGACUUGAAGGAAAAAACUCUGGGGAAUGUGGCCUCGGCUUCGGUUGAGGUGUUAUAGCCCUUGGGAAAAUACUUUGGGUUAGACUGAGGAACGCAGCGGGCCCGCAAGGGCAAAGAGCUGGGGGUGCUUUGGCUUUUUUAGGCGGAAAUCUCUACUUCGGGUAGUGUCUGUCUAGAGAGGCUAAACUCGCCUUCAUUCUUCUUUCUCUCGCUUAGGUUGUUGGCCUAAUGAUUUANUGA